GCCCGGUUAGCUCAGCCGGUAGAGCGUUGGACUUUUAAUCCAAAGGCCAAGGUGUCAAAUCCCUUAUCGGGCU
rnacentral:tRNA from 1 species